rnacentral:rRNA from 1 species
UGGCGGAAUGCUUUACACAUGCAAGUCGAACGGCAGCACGGGGCAACCUGGUGGCGAGUGGCGAACGGGUGAGUAAUACAUCGGAACGUGCCCAAUCGUGGGGGAUAACGUAGCGAAAGUUACGCUAAUACCGCAUACGAUCUACGGAUGAAAGCGGGGGAUCGCAAGACCUCGCGCGAAUGGAGCGGCCGAUGUCAGAUUAGGUAGUUGGUGGGGUAAAGGCUCACCAAGCCGACGAUCUGUAGCUGGUCUGAGAGGACGACCAGCCACACUGGGACUGAGACACGGCCCAGACUCCUACGGGAGGCAGCAGUGGGGAAUUUUGGACAAUGGGCGCAAGCCUGAUCCAGCCAUUCCGCGUGCAGGAUGAAGGCCUUCGGGUUGUAAACUGC